CUCGGAGUUUGAUCCUGGCUCAGAUUGAACGCUGGCGGAAUGCUUUACACAUGCAAGUCGAACGGUAGAGGGGGCAACCCCUCGAGAGUGGCGAACGGGUUGAGUAAUAUAUCGGAACGUGCCCAGUCGUGGGGGAUAACGUAGCGAAAGUUACGCUAAUACCGGCAUACGAUCUAAAGGAUGAAACGCGGGGAUCGCAAGACCUCGCGACGAUUGGGAGCGGUCCGAUAUCAGAUUAGGUAGUUGGU
rnacentral:rRNA from 1 species